GGGCUAUUAGCUCAGCUGAUAGAGCGCACCCUGACAAGGGUGAGGUCGCUGGUUCAAAUCCAGCAUAGCCCA
rfam:Coccomyxa subellipsoidea C-169, whole genome shotgun sequence.